UGAGCAUGCAAGUGUUUACUGCAUUGCAUCUAAAGCUGAACAAAUUAACAGUGUAGAUCUCCUGAAACUCCGCGGAACACACAAAAGGCAGUUGUAAUGGAUGACCCACUGUACGAAGAGGUACCAGAUCAUCCUGAAAUAAAGGUAAUCCCGAGUGAGGUUCAGCCAGAGGUAAUGGUAAUCCAGCCGGCACCUCCAACUACAGUAAUCCAACCAGCGCCUCCAGCUACAGUAAUCCAGACAGAAGUUCAGCCAAAGGUAACAGUGGUCCAGCCACAGCAUGUGCCAGCAGUGGUCCAGCCCGCAGGUCAACAAGCAGCUGUAGUAAACAGUAUGGUGUCUAAGCCUAAUCUGACAGAUAUACCUGGACAUUUCCGAUGCCCUAUCUGCACGCUUGACGUUGUCACAGUGAUACGAUUCCUCACUGAUACGACGCUCGCCUGCAGCCUUUUUGGAAGUCAUUGUUCAGUCAGCAUUUGGCCGUGCUGUCUGGUUCCAUUCCAUUCCUGUCACGACGUAGAGCACAGCUGCCCCAACUGCCAGUCCGUCCUCUACAUUUACAAGCGAAACUGACCAGUGUCCAACACUGCGGCUCCGUCCGACUUGAGAACUUUGCUUCUGACAAAAACAUUUACAGCAGCAGUGCUCAGACCUCUCAGUCUCUGACAGUCAACGAAUGAGGACCAUGUGUUAGCAGAACUGUGUCCAUUAGGCUAGCUUUGUAUCACUGACCUACACAGACAAGAAACACGGCCCUAUUCUGUGAUUACAGGUGACUUGUGUGGGCAAAUAUAUGACAGAAUGUAUUUUAACCAUGUUUAAUAAGACUUAGCAUUUUUAAACGGCAACACAUUGUGUGAAGCCAAUAUUCAUAAUCCACCAUGAAUGCAUGUAUAAUUCUAUAACUUGGUAACAAUGCUUUGUAAGCAUAUUUAUAAAGCUUUAAUAAUAAACCAUUAAAACAUUGUUGGGACUUAGAAACAUGUAGUAAAACAAGUUUACCUUCUGAUUAAAUUUGAACAGGUGACGACGUGGGCAUAACUGGAAAUGAACACAGUCCCACACAUCACAUUGUUUAUUACGAUGUUUAUUUGUGUGUCUUUCUGAACAAGUAGAUGCUUAACCUCCAGAUAAACAGCAGAUUAUAUAGUUUCACUUUUUUUUUUUAAUAAAAAACAAAGCUUUCCUUAAUCCUUCAAAACCCAACAUGCACUUAAUCUCUUUUGAAAUGUCUAAUGGGAAGACUGUGAAUGAAAAUGUUUGCUUUCAGUAACUUUUAAAAGCCGUCAAACGACUGUCUAGAGAACAGGCGAGUUCCUUGGCAUUCCAGCACUGAAGGAAUGUAGAUUCAGUUUCAUUACUCUAGUUAUAAACACUAGCAAGGGCUAAAUUCCUAACACUUUUUAACCCUUUCACAUGUUUUUAAUGUAAUAUGAUCAAGGAAAGAGAAAGUUAACAAAAUAUCUGGUUAUUUUCUAUUGAACACACUGUAAAUAUGUUUUAUUAGCAUGAAAUCUACACUGUGUUUUUGAUUCUGUGAAUAAAAAGUUUGAAAAAUGAA